ensembl:rRNA 5S_rRNA 5S ribosomal RNA
AUCUAUGGCCAUACCAUGCUGAACGCACCAAAUCUUGUCUGAUCUCAGAAGCUAAGCAGGGUCAGGCCUGUUAGUACUUGGAUGGGAGACCUCCUGGGAAUACUGUGUAUUAUUGGCA